AAGAAAGCUUAAGCUUAAGGUUCAUGUUGUAUAUAUAUGCUUUACAUAGUUUGAUUGUACACCAAGUGUUUGUUUGCUUCGGUUUGUAGUCUAUGAUAUAGGUUUCAUACUUAGUUGCCUACCAUUUAUUUAUUUUUAUUGCAAUUUUCAUAAUUACCAUAUAUUCUUUUUGUUUUCUGCUUUGUAAAUUGAUUUUUGAGAUUGACAUCUCAUUUUAACAUGUACUUUUAUAAUAUGCUAUGUUUAUUACAUAUUCAGACUCAGGUCAAUGGUGUGUUCCUUUUUGCUACAAUGUGCUCUCUUUAAAGUUAGUGGCUUUGCUGCAGUCUGAGCAUAACUAAACCCAUAGUACAUGUAUUGCAGAAAACACCUACAUUCCACAGUUUAUUGAAAAGAUGGCAACAUAUUACCUGUGCAGAGCACUUCAACAGGUCACUGUAGCUAGAAUUUUGAGCUGAGAACAUCAAACGUGCAGCCCUUAAAUGCAGCUUCUUUGUUGUGUGGUGAAUUUUUCGCUCAUAUAUACUGCUUUGCGUUUGUCUUCUAUGUGUGCCAUGGUUAUUAUCACAAUAUCCAACAAUA
rnacentral:lncRNA from 1 species